rnacentral:misc_RNA from 1 species
UGUUAACGUGAGGUGGGUGGAUAAGUGUUUUCUCCUCUAGUUAACAAUGAUUUUGACUGUUAAUGAUACAAGUUCACGACUUUACGAUUUCUUUAUAACUUUGGCUUACUGAAAAACUUUUGGUUUAGCGAGUGCAUACAAAUCGGCUUUUUUAUUAAAAGCUUUUAAUUUUAUCAGUGAGUGACAGUAUUCAGUAGUAACUAGUAUUAAUUAUUAAUAUAAUUACCAUUUUAGUGUACUAAUGUAAUAAAUACUGUUACUACUAUUAUUAUGUAGUCAAGCCGUGGCGUUGCUUAUACAUUGUUACAUUUUAUACUAAAUCAGUAAACUAAAUGCCUUUACCAUAAUAUUAAUAAUACUAAUAGACUUGCAGUUGCAGAUUACGAUUUAGAGACUUCCAAUUUCAUGUAGGUCAUAUUUGACAUAACCAUAACAUUUAACUGCUUAAAAAUAAUAUUAAAGUAAGAUAUUGUUGCUAGCUACAAUGUGGUAAAAUACUCAGUACCACUACCGGUAGGAGUAGUAGUAGUAUCGCGGUUGUUUCCGCUAACUUGUAAGUUGUAUAUGAAUAAUUCACAAAUGUAAAAUUAAAAAGAAAGGUGUUUGUGUAGAAAAAGUUCACUUUUUACUUGGCUAGUGUUUCUGUUUUUUCGUGUAGUUUAUUAUUGGCAUGAUGCUGUGUUUCCCAAGGAAGGGACGAGUGCGUUUGAUGUUGAUUUUCCUUUCCCUGAUUGCAAUGUGUUUGGUAGUACUUUAUCGUAAUUCAGAUGUACCAAAUCUGUCUGGUCAACAUGAUGAUCAUUCAAGCACAGUACCCGUCUAUCAUCGGAGUAAUGGUCGUACACACUACAGUGAUGAUCAGGAUAGAAGCUUGAUUAGUCAUAUGAAGUCCAAAUUCUCGCAGCAGCCAGUCGUUUCCAAAGUUUCUGGUAUGUGUACACCAGUAUCUCCACUAACAAAAGUGGACAUUAAUGUUACCCAGGUCUAUCCAACUUUAAACUUCUACCCAUCUCAACGGUCCUAUUGGAAUCAGACAUUUGAAAAUCGUUAUGUAAAGAGACGUAGAGAAUGGGCUAAUUUGCCCUUAAAGGUAAUUGUUUUGCCUCACACCCAUCCUGAUCCAGGCUGGCUGAAGACCUAUGAUGAAUAUUACAUCACUUCAGUUUCAUACAUCCUUAACAAUAUGGUUAAAAAACUAAAUGAGUACAAGGAUUUGACUUUUAUAUGGGCUGAAAUUUCCUACUUUUCAUACUGGUGGGACAGAUUGAAGAACCAACCACAAGUGCAAAAGACAGUGAAAGAUCUUAUAAAUAACGGUCAGUUGGAAAUUGUUACAGGAGGUUGGGUUAUGACAGAUGAAGCUGCUGCUCACUACCAUGCUAUGAUUGAUCAGCUUAUUGAAGGACAUCAGUGGUUACGAACUACUCUUGGGGUCGUGCCGUCGAAUGCAUGGUCAAUUGACCCAUUUGGUCAUUCAUCUACUAUUCCAUACUUGUUAAAAUCAGCUGGAAUGAAAAAUAUGUUCAUUCAGAGGACACAUUUUGCCUGGAAGCAGUACUUAGCAGAAAAGCAACAACUAGAAUUCUGGUGGAAGCAAAACUUUAAUUUGUUUUCUCAGAAUCAGUCUCACGAGGGAGAUAUUUUAUGUCACAUGUCACCUUUUGACUUGUACAGCAUUAAGCACAGCUGUGGUCCUCAUCAGAAAGUGUGUCUAAUGUUUGAUUUUCGAAGGAUUCCUGGAGAAAUAUCUGAAACCAUGGCAGAACAAAUAAAUAAACAAAAUGUCCAAAAGCAAGCAGAUCUUCUUGUAGGACAGUAUGGCCGCCUUGGUUCUCUGUUCCCCCACAAUGUUGCACUAGUGUUGGUUGGAGAUGACUUUCGCUACAAUCAUGAGGUAGAAUGGGAUCAACAAUACAAAAACUACAAAAAGCUGUUUAAUUUUAUCAAUGCUAACAAAGAUUAUAAUGUAGAUAUUAAGUUUGGUACUUUAGGAGACUAUUUUCAAGAAGUUCAUAAAAGAAUGAGAAACUUGAACAUUGAUAAACCACCAACUUUGUUAGGAGAUUUCUUCCCAUAUGGUGAUGUAUAUGCAGAUGGUAGACCAUCUUAUUGGACUGGCUAUUUUACCACUCGGCCAAUGUGGAAGAAAUUCUGUAGGGAUCUUCAAAGUUGGCUACGCAGUGCAGAGAUCUUGUAUAGUCUUGCAAAAGCAGUUGUUACUCAGCAAGGGAAUGCUCAGUUUCUUGAACUGAUGCAUCAAAAUUAUGAGCAUCUAACUGUUGCUCGUCAAGCACUUGGGCUUUUCCAACACCAUGAUGCUAUCACAGGCACCUCCAAGCAAAGAGUUAUGCAUGACUAUGGCCAGAAAUUAUUCAAAGGCUUUCAAGGUACGAAAGAUGUUAUUGCUACUAGUGCCAAAGUUCUACUUUUUCAAAAUAUGACCUAUAAACAAAGUGUAGAUGACAGACAGAUGUCAGAAACACCUAAGUUAAUUCCUGAUGACAAACGUUUAUAUUAUGACAGCUUACCAGAAAAAAAUGUUCUCCUUGUUUCCAGUUCUGAUGGACAAAAAAUUGUCCUUUUUAAUUCUUUUCCUUUUCAUAGACAGGAAGUGGCUCGUGUUUUAAUUAAGAACCCUCAUGUUCGAGUAGUAAACUCAUCAAACCAAGAAGUUCCCUCACAAGUUAACCCUAUUUGGAGUAGCUCAGCAGAAAUUACUGACAAAGUUUAUCAGUUAAAUUUCUUGGCAGACUUACUCCCUUUAUCAUUGUCUACAUUCACAAUUUUCAUCAGAGAAAAAAGCAUAGACAAAAAAUCAGAACCAUCUGUGUCUGUGUUUGUCAAUGAUGCUUUGGAUUCAUCUUUGAAGAACACUUUGUUUAACUUCCAAGUAAUCCAUAAUGAAAACAUAGCUCUUAACUCUCCAUACUUAUCUGCCACUUUUUCCAAGUAUACUGGACUACUUAAGUCUUUACAUCUCUUAUCUCAGGAUAUCACAAGUCAAAUUGAAACUAAGUUUCUUUAUUAUAACUCUGAAGAGUUUCGUAGUGGAGCAUAUUUAUUUCAACCAAAUCCAGUAAGCCCAAUCUUAAACAUAUCUGAUAGAUUCCCCAUUGUCCAUCUGAUUCAAGGUCAUCUUGUGUCUGAACUGACCACAACAUACCCAAACACUGCGACUACAACAUUUAGAGUAUAUCAUCUGGAUGGGCCUUUAGGGGCAGGACUGGAGAUUGAAACAAAAUUCGACCUUUAUAAACGGAAGCAUUAUAAUCUGGAAUUAUUCAUGAGACUAGAAAGUGAUCUUGCCAGUGAAGACAUUUUUUACACCGAUUCUAAUGGUUUCCAGAUGACUCAACGAAUCAGACUUGAUCACAUUCCUUUGGAGGCUAACUUUUAUCCUGUGAGCACUGCUGCUUAUAUUGAAGAUACACAAGCCCGUUUGACACUGCUCACAUCAAAUGCUCAUGGUUGUACAAGUUCUCAGAGUGGGAACUUGGAAGUAGUUCUUGACCGUCGACUGGCAUAUGAUGACAGUCGUGGGUUAGGAGAGGGAGUGCUAGACAAUAAACCAACUAAUGCUCAUUUUUGGUUGUUGCUAGAAGAACGUCAAAGGACCACCUCUGACAGAGAAAUCCCAAAUCUCAGUCAAUUGGGUCAUGCCUUGUCUUCUAUUUUGAAUUACCCUGCUAUAGUCAUGACAUUUGAAGGCAGUGAAAAAUAUUUCCAAAGAAAAUUUUUGACUUUUGUUCAAAAUCCUUUUCCAUGUGAUGUUCAUUUAGUCAACUUGCGGACAUUACCAACUGUGAUUAACUUUAAUAAGCCGUCCAGUAGCAGUCUACUAAUUCUUCAUCGUCAAGGACAUACAUGUCAUGUGAAAUCCCAUGUUCCUGGCUAUUGUACACAUUACCCUUCCAAAAUGAGAUUAAGUGAACUAAGUCAUGUUCAGGUGGAAUCUGUGUAUCAAACUUCUCUUACAGGAAUCCACGUGUUGCAGAAAAUCCUGCAACUGAAUGACAUACAAAUCCAACCAAUGGAAGUGCACACCUACAAUGUCACUUUUGUUUGAUGAUAGCGUAGAUGAGAAUGAUGCAUCAUCACAAUCAUCUAAUUUUUUGUAUAUUUUUUAAAGCAUCCCAGUAUUUGUUAGGUGUUUUUAAGUUUAUAUAACAACUUAUGAUAAAUCUUGGUCAUUACUGCUGCUUAAAUUAUUACAGAAGACUAAUUUAUUGUAGUCGUUGUUGCCGAGAUAAAUGUUUAUGCAUUGUUAGCCCCUUUUCUUGCCUUUAAUCUUGGAAAUUUUGUGAGGAAAGUAUUAACCAAAGGUACCUUUUUGUUCCUAUAAGGGCUUGAAGAUUAUAAGUGUUGAAUUUUUCUCUUUACGUUUGAAAGAGCUAUUUUAUUAUUUUGUUCACUAAAUUAAUUUUCCAUAUGGAUUUUGGUAGUUCAGAUUAGUAUAUUAAAAACUGAAUUUAUGUUUGGAAUGAUUUUGAAGUGCUCAUUUAUGGUGAAGGAUGUUGAAUUAUAUGUACAUGGGAUUGUGCAAGAGUAAUGGAUGCAUAUUUUUAUUUUACAGGUUUACUUUUUAAUCAGAUUCUCAAGAACUCUUGAUUGAUAAUAAAUAUUUAUUAAAUUCAGUGGAAAACUUGAAAUUGAUAGCAAUGAGCAGUAGAGCCGGAGAUAUUGGACGUCAUUAUGCUUCUGGAAGUGCAAAACGUAAAGGGAAGGAAGAAAAAGAAAGAAGAGACCAACUUGUGAUAUCAAAAACAUGUAAGUUGACAGAAUAUUUUGAUGUUCAUUGUGAUGGUGCUGUAACGGCUGAAGCUGGAAAUAUAGGAACAACUAGUACUAGUGCAGCAGAGGGCAUACAGCAACAGCCAGCAUCCAUUGAAUACAAAAGAACAAGUACUCUAAUGAUAUUGGUGAAUGGCCAAACAAUUUAAAUGAUUGUGAUCGUGAAUAUUGGAUAGCCAAGGGAAGUGAUGAAUGUCAACAUGCUAAUAGUAACUUCUCUUCAUCCAUGCGAUUGUAUGACAAUGAAAAGAAACCUCGGCACUAUCAGAAGUUUUAUUUCACACAUGUUCAUAAACCUACAAACAAGCAACAUGCAAGAAAUUGGUUAUGCUAUUCAGAAAGCAAAGGAAGCCUAUUCUGUUUACCAUGCAAGGUUAUGACUUCAGUAUGUUCACCGAAGUUUAUUGAAUAGGGGUUUAAUGACUAGAAAAAUGCAAGCAAUCUAUUACGUCGACAUGAAGAAAGUUCCUCACAUAGACAAGCUUUAAUUUCACUGUUGAUGCACAAAAACAAAGGUUUACGUGUCGAUUCCCAACUUGUGAAAGAAAUGGAGACUGAACAAAGGUAUUGGCGCACACUUCUAAAGCGAAUAAUUGAAAUUGUAAAGUUUUAACAGAACGAGGCCUUUCAUUUCGUGGUAGUCAUGAAACUGUUGGCUCUUCUCAUAAUGGAAAUUACUUGGGGUUGUUAGAAUUACUGGCCAAGUUUGACCCUUUUCUGGCAGAGCAUAUAAAUACUCAUGCAAACAAAGGAAGGGGACAUAAAAUCAUACUUAUCUAAAACAACAUGUGAGGAAUUUAUCAAUCUGAUUGGA